UCCCCGGUGGCUCAGACGGUAAAGCGUCUGCCUGCAACGCAGGAGACCCGGGUUCAAUCCCCGGGUCGGGAAG